ensembl:lncRNA
UUUGUUCUUAAUUGACUUGCCUAGUUAAAUGAAGGUUAAAUACAACUACUAAAUGUUGAUGAUAAGGAGUGGCAGGAGGAAUGAGGUUUCAACACAGGGCACUCAUCAUGAUCACGGAGUCCAAUAUUAUUCUGUAUCUUUAUUGUGAACAAUGCAAUGUCAAACUCGAAGAACUUGCUUCUGUUGUGAAGCAGAGGUAUUACGAAAAUUACUUAUCUAUAUUGAAACAUAGAUACAGUGGGAAAUGCAUAGGCUGCAGACACACUAACGAACACACCCAUAGCACUGUCUCAGUCAGAUGGAGUGAAGAGAGAAGGAUGUCACUUUAAUGGGAUUGAAUGAACAAACAGCAGAAGGUCCAUGUCCCCCGCACCCAUGACACACUACUCCUUCCAACCCAUCUCCUCUAGCCAUGCUCCUUACCUUCAGGUCCUUCCUACCCACCCCCUCUAGCCGUGCUCCUUACCUUCAGGUCCUUCCCACCCACCCCCUCUAGCCGUACUCCU